ensembl:snRNA U1 U1 spliceosomal RNA
AUACUCACCUGGUAGAGAAGAUAACGUUCUGAGAGUAGUUUUGCCAGAACGAGGCUAUUCCAUUACACUCCCCACGUACUGAUCCUUGCGUUUUCUCCAAAUGUGUGGAAUUUGACUGCAUAGCUUGUGGUAGUGGGGGACUGCGUUAGUGUUUUCCGCUG